rnacentral:rRNA from 1 species
AUUGAACGCUGGCGGCAGGCCUAACACAUGCAAGUCGAGCGGUAGAGAGAAGCUUGCUUCUCUUGAGAGCGGCGGACGGGUGAGUAAUGCCUAGGAAUCUGCCUGGUAGUGGGGGAUAACGUUCGGAAACGGACGCAAAUACCGCAUACGUCCUACGGGAGAAAGCAGGGGACCUUCGGGCCUUGCGCUAUCAGAUGAGCCUAGGUCGGAUUAGAUAGUUGGUGGGGUAAUGGCUCACCAAGGCGACGAUCCGUAACUGGUCUGAGAGGAUGAUCAGUCACACUGGAACUGAGACACGGUCCAGACUCCUACGGGAGGCAGCAGUGGGGAAUAUUGGACAAUGGGCGAAAGCCUGAUCCAGCCAUGCCGCGUGUGUGAAGAAGGUCUUCGGAUUGUAAAGCACUUUAAGUUGGGAGGAAGGGCAGUAAAUUAAUACUUUGCUGUUUUGACGUUACCGACAGAAUAAGCACCGGCUAACUCUGUGCCAGCAGCCGCAGUAA